rnacentral:tRNA from 1 species
UGAGGUGUAGCUCAGUGGUAAAUCACUUACCUACCAUGUGUGAAGAUCUGGGUUCAAUUCCCAGUACCACAU